ACGAACGCUGGCGGCAUGCCUAACACAUGCAAGUCGAACGAAGGCUUCGGCCUUAGUGGCGCACGGGUGCGUAACGCGUGGGAAUCUGCCCUUUGCUUCGGAAUAACAGUUAGAAAUGACUGCUAAUACCGGAUGAUGUCGCAAGACCAAAGAUUUAUCGGCAAAGGAUGAGCCCGCGUAGGAUUAGCUAGUUGGUGGGGUAAAGGCCUACCAAGGCGACGAUCCUUAGCUGGUCUGAGAGGAUGAUUAGCCACACUGGGACUGAGACACGGCCCAGACUCCUACGGGAGGCAGCAGUGGGGAAUAUUGGACAAUGGGCGAAAGCCUGAUCCAGCAAUGCCGCGUGAGUGAUGAAGGCCUUAGGGUUGUAAAGCUCUUUUACCCGGGAUGAUAAUGACAGUACCGGGAGAAUAAGCUCCGGCUAACUCCGUG
rnacentral:rRNA from 1 species